rfam:Acetobacterium wieringae strain DSM 1911 ACWI_contig000044, whole genome shotgun sequence.
AAAUAAGAUUUAUCGUGAGAAAUCAGCCGAAGCCAUAGUACGGAGACAAUCUAGAAGUCGAAGGAAGGGC